UACGGAAGGCAGCAGUGGGGAAUAUUGCACAAUGGGCGCAAGCCUGAUGCAGCCAUGCCGCGUGUAUGAAGAAGGCCUUCGGGUUGUAAAGUACUUUCAGUCGUGAGGAAGGUGUUAAGGUUAAUAACCUUAGCAAUUGACGUUAGCGACAGAAGAAGCACCGGCUAACUCCGUGCCAGCAGCCGCGGUAAUACGGAGGGUGCGAGCGUUAAUCGGAAUUACUGGGCGUAAAGGGCACGCAGGCGGUUAAUUAAGUUGGAUGUGAAAUCCCCGGGCUUAACCUGGGAAUGGCAUUCAAGACUGGUUAGCUAGAGUCUUGUAGAGGGGGUUAGAAUUCCAUGUGUAGCGGUGAAAUGCGUAGAGAUGUGGAGGAAUACCGGUGGCGAAGGCGGCCCCUGGACAAAGACUGACGCUCAUGUGCGAAAGCGUGGGGAGCAAA
rnacentral:rRNA from 1 species